UUGCACGCUGGCGGCAUGCCUUACACAUGCAAGUCGAACGGUAACAGGUCUUCGGAUGCUGACGAGUGGCGAACGGGUGAGUAAUACAUCGGAACGUGCCCGAUCGUGGGGGAUAACGAAGCGAAAGCUUUGCUAAUACCGCAUACGAUCUACGGAUGAAAGCAGGGGACCGCAAGGCCUUGCGCGAACGGAGCGGCCGAUGGCAGAUUAGGUAGUUGGUGGGAUAAAAGCUUACCAAGCCGACGAUCUGUAGCUGGUCUGAGAGGACGACCAGCCACACUGGGACUGAGACACGGCCCAGACUCCUACGGGAGGCAGCAGUGGGGAAUUUUGGACAAUGGGCGAAAGCCUGAUCCAGCCAUGCCGCGUGCAGGAUGAAGGCCUUCGGGUUGUAAACUGCUUUUGUACGGAACGAAAAGACUCUGGUUAAUACCUGGGGUCCAUGACGGUACCGGAAGAAUAAGCACCGGCUAACUACGUG
rnacentral:rRNA from 1 species